rnacentral:rRNA from 1 species
UACGGGGGGAGCAAGCGUUGUUCGGAUUUACUGGGCGUAAAGGGCGCGUAGGCGGCCACCGCAAGUCGACUGUGAAAUCUCCGGGCUUAACUCGGAAAGGUCAACUGAUACUGUGCGACUAGAGUGCGGAAGGGGCAACUGGAAUUCUCGGUGUAGCGGUGAAAUGCGUAGAUAUCGAGAGGAACACCUGCGGCGAAGGCGGGUUGCUGGGCCGACACUGACGCUGAUGCGCGAAAGCCAGGGGAGCGAACGGG